GUCGAAAUAAUUUUUUUUCUGUCAUCUUCUGCAAUAAUUGAAACUUCCCCAAAGUCAAUUAUACAUAUCGUCGGCGCAUCAUCGGAGUAAUCGCAUCUGAAUAUCCAUUUGAUACGAAAAUCAUCACAAAAAACGGUAGCCUCAAUGUUUUCUCCACGUCAGAUCGCCGUUACCCUCGCUUUUCCUCUCUUAAUCCUCUUCCUUACAACUCUACCGCCGUUAGUCACCGCCGCUGCAGCUACCGGCGACGCCGACGCCGUAAACGGUGGCACUUCCCUCACUGCUUACGACUUACUCGUAAGCUACGGCUUCCCCGUCGGAAUUCUUCCACAAGGUGCUAUUGGGUACGAUCUCGAUAAGGACACCGGAAAAUUCAGUGUACAUCUUAAUGGGUCUUGCAGUUUCGCAUUAGAAGGGUCUUAUCAGCUUAGGUAUCAAUCGAGAUUCGGUGGGUACAUAGCUAAAAAUAGGCUUUCAAGCCUACAUGGGGUUAGUGUAAAAAUUCUGUUUCUUUGGCUGAAUAUUGUGGAGGUUGUUAAGAAUGGUGACAAUCUUGAGUUCUCUGUUGGAAUUGCUUCGGCUAGCUUUCCCACUUACAAUUUCCUGGUUUGUCCACAAUGUGGAUGUGGAUUGAAUUGCAAUAGCAAUGGACAUAUUCUAAAGAUUCGAAACAGUAACCUUGUCUCUUCUGUUUAGCUGCACACAGAAGGAUGAUGGAGCCUGAGUUUACUGAAA
rnacentral:misc_RNA from 1 species